rnacentral:rRNA from 3 species
AAACGACUCUCGGCAACGGAUAUCUCGGCUCACGCAUCGAUGAAGAACGUAGCAAAAUGCGAUACUUGGUGUGAAUUGCAGAAUCCCGUGAACCAUCGAGUUUUUGAACGCAAGUUGCGCCCGAAGCCAUUCGGCCGAGGGCACGCCUGCCUGGGCGUCACGCAU